UACGUAGGGUGCGAGCGUUGUCCGGAAUUAUUGGGCGUAAAGGGCUCGUAGGCGGUCUGUUGCGUCGGGAGUGAAAACUCAGGGCUUAACCCUGAGCCUGCUUCCGAUACGGGCAGACUAGAGGUAUGCAGGGGAGAACGGAAUUCCUGGUGUAGCGGUGAAAUGCGCAGAUAUCAGGAGGAACACCGGUGGCGAAGGCGGUUCUCUGGGCAUGUCCUGACGCUGAGGAGCGAAAGUGUGGGGGAGCGAACAGG
rnacentral:rRNA from 1 species